rnacentral:rRNA from 1 species
UGGGGAAUAUUGCACAAUGGAGGGAACUCUGAUGCAGCGACGCCGCGUGAGUGAUGAAGGAAUUCGUUUCGUAAAACUCUGUUCUAUGGGAAGAAAAGGACUGUACCAUAGGAGAAAGCUCCGGCUAAAUACGUGCCAGCAGCCGCGGUAAUACGCAUGGAGCGAGCGUUGUCCGGAAUUAUUGGGCGUAAAGGGUGCGCAGGCGGCUUUACAAGUUGGAUGUGAAAUAUUGUGGCUCAACCACAAACGUGCAUCCAAAACUGCAAAGCUUGAGUGAAGGAGAGGUAAGUGGAAUUCCUGGUGUAGCGGUGGAAUGCGUAGAUAUCAGGAGGAAUACCGGUGGCGAAGGCGACUAACUGGACUUAAACUGACGCUCAGGCACGAAAGCGUGGGGAGCAAACAGG